GUUGCAGGGGUACUUUUUAAUCCAGUUUUCAGUUCUCUCUUAGGGGUAAUUUUUCCAAGAAUAGCUUUAAAUUUGUUGUUUCUGAGGGAUGAGGUGAGUUCAGAGUCUGCCUACACCACCAUCUUGACACCAACGGCUCUAGGUAUUUUAUUCAUUACCAACUAGACAGUGCAGCCAGCCCUGGUGGUCUGUUGGUGAAGAUUCAGAACUCUCAAUGCCACAGCCUGAGCUUGUUCCCUGGUCAGGGAAGCACACCACCUGAUAUCUGUCAUUUGUCAAUCUGUAGUGGCUGCAUGUUGCUGUGAUGCUGAAAACUAUGCCAUUGGUAUUUCAGAUAACCCGGCAGGGUCACCCAUGUUGGACAGGUUUCAGAGGAGCUUGUAGACAAAGACAGACUAGGAAGAAGGACCUGGCCACUCACUUCUGAAAAAAUUGGCCAUGAAAACCCUAGGAAUAGCAGUGGAACAUUGUCUGAUAUAGUGCCAAAAGGUGAGUGGACAGCACAAAAAGAUAGGGCAGUGUUCUGCUCUAUAGUACACAAGGUUGCUAGGAGUCGAAUCAACUCGACUGCAUUGACAACAAGAAAACUAGACAUUAGAAUAUGACUUGGCACUUUGAGAUUUAAAGGGGUUUCUUGAUUUCCUAUGGAACCCUGUAAACCAUGCUCUCCUGGACUCAUGGUAGCUUUGGUCAUGUUGUUGACUCCAUUGUUUCAAGCUCUGCUGCUUUGUUGCUCAGAAAGAGUUCUGAGUGACCUUUGCUGAUAUUAGAAACUUAGACUGUAUACUAAGGGAUUCAGUCUCUUUGUGAAGGUGGCAGAAUUUAUAAGUUUCUGAGUGAGUACUUCUUUAUACUCCAGAGAUCUGAAGGGAAUAUCUUACACCAAAGUAAAAUGGUAACAUUUCUGAAAAAGACUGGAGUGUAGUACUUCUUAAAAUAAUGAGGACUCAUAGACAGAAUUCCAAAGGGAGGAAAGAGGUAUUUGUUCUCUUCAAAACAUGAAAGAAUAUCCAUCCUUCACUUAAUAAAGUGUUUACCAGGAUAGCACCAUUAUUUUACACUUAGGUAAGAUGCCCAGUCGAAUAAUCCUCUGGCAUGUUUAUAAAGCUAACCACCAAAUUAGAAUAAGAAUAGGACCAUUUAUAUCUGAAUAUUCAAAAGUAGCUAGCGAUAAUAAAAUAAGCUCUAACAAUAACGGGCCUUGCUAGCUGACCGGUUCUGGCUAAAAAAUAGUACACUAUUCCUAAGAAGGUGAUUCUUUAAUUCUUUUGAUUCUGACCUGGUUGUUUUCUGUGCUGAUUCUAGUCUGGAUUCAGCACUUCUUGAGAGCAGUUAUGAAUAUCACCCUCAAUUGCCUUUGUGCUGUUAGAGAAAAAAUGGAUAGCAAAUUAGUUCAGGCGUUGGAUAGGCAGUUAUCUCUAACUCGUAAACUAUACCUGAUAAAUCCUGAUUUAUAUACUAAGAAUGAAGUACGUCCAUUUCUUUACCACACCCUGAACUUCAUCUUCCAUAACAUACGACUUGUAACUUGAAGCCUAAGGAAUUUGUUCAUUUUUCUUCCAAAACCUUUAGUAGUGCUCCUCUAUUUCAUACUUUACUGUAAUGGAACCUCUGGGGAGAGUCACUUUGCUUUAGAUUAAUAGACUUCGCUGAUAGAUUGAUGGAGAUAUGGAGUACUUCUUUGUUAGAUGAAGACAUUUGUUUCUUACUUCCAUGUAGAGAAUGAAUAUUGUCUUUUUAUAGUGUAGGAAAGUAAUUAGAUAACAACUUAAAAAAAAAAGAGGAUUGAGGAUGUAAAAACUAUCUAGAAAUUAUUAAGUCUGAAAAACAAUCAUCCCAAACAGUAACAGCUUGCAUAGACGGUGCUUUAAAGUUUACAGUGGUUUCUAUAUAUUAUCUUAUUCAUUCACUCUCACUCAUUUGUUUAAUAUUUACAGAGCACCAACUCUAUAGGCAACACUGGAAUGCCUUUUAAUCCUCCAAACAAUUCUAUGAAUUGAGUGCUAUCCACAUUUGAGAGAUACAAUGUAUGUUUCUAUGUGAAUUCUAUGCAUUGUUUUGUGAUGGGGUUGAUCUUAUUGAUAUUUCUGUCUAUUUAGUCUUUCUCAGGGCUUCAGAAUUAUGGUGGCCACGAGGCCGAGAGCUUUAAACACUGCCAUACCUUGCAUGGAUAGCAGCACACUCUCCAAGUACCCACUACAUACAAGGUCCACCGAGAACCACUCACCCUCAGGAUCUCACCUCAGAUUGCUAAAAUCGUCAAACUGAUAAAGAACCGUUAAGUUGUUCUCCCAAUUGUUGGAUGGCAGAUAAUUCAUUUUGGCUUAAGAGCCUGGAGGAGAACUUGAAGAAGGAACCAAGGCAAUUCCUUUUCCACAAUGUUGUUCCACAAAAAUCUCUCAAGAUUGCACGUGGUUGAGAAGUCCCAGACAACAUUGGAAUUUUUCAAGGUUGACUCAGCAAACGAUCCCUGAUGGGGUUAGUCACUCAUUCUCUGACCAGAUCUCAUCCAGAUCAUCUUAACUAGAGAUACAGAGACGGGAUGAGAGAAGAUCUAAGCUAAAUCGCUGGUUUACCUACAGCAUUGAUCUCUUUCACCUUUGGUUGAAUCCCAAAGCCAGCAUGCUCUUCAGCUUCAUAUCUCUGGAUUGUGAACAUACAGGAGACACAACGUCCACUUUCUAAGGUUGUGAAGAUUGAAGGUCCACGAGGAACAUGAAGACCUUAGCACACCCCUCCUUCAUUGUGAAGUAGAGAAUGGUAGAUGGAAAGUAAAAACUGAAUUGAAAGAUUUCAUCCAGCUCUGGCUUCUUCAGCGGAGGGGAAAAAGACAAUGUGUGGAAGACUCAGAGAAAAGAUUCAAAGAUGCUAAGAGGCUGGAGAGUGAAGCCUAGGAGGAAAUGCUAAUGGAGUUGUGCUUAUAAAGCCUGGAGAGAAGAUUGGACAAUAAUGAUACUAAGCUCAUAAAAAGAGUUGAAACUCAGCUGUGCAGCAUGGUGGUCUAUGUGCAGAGAAGACCAGGCCAGACAAAGAUGAGGUGGCAAAAACACCCCUCUCCCUUUGUGGUCUUUAAUGCUGCUGCCCUGGAGUGAGGAAGCCCCCUUGCCAUACAUCCAUCUUCCCUUCCCUUUCUUUCUUACUCCUCCUCCCUCUUUGCUGAUUCUUUUUCCCGGCAUGCCUUGGUGGAAGUAAUGUAAGAUUUGGAGCUAGAAGCUCUGAAUAUGAGGUUUCAGCAGGUAAUUAUUGGAUGUAUGAACUUCAGCCAGUUCUGAGUUUCAUUUUUAGGAAAAAGAAAUGAAUAAAUAUUUCCUAAUUUGUAAAAGGAAGAUAAUAUCUGCCUCAUAGGGUUGCUGAGAGGAUGAUAUAAAAUAGGCACAAAAAUCAGUUUGUAACAUGCAGAGUAAGUACGAACAUGGAUUUUUAGUAUUAUCAAUGUAUUUCCUCAGUCUUCACGUCUUUCCUGCCUCCCUUGCAAUUCCAAGUAGCAGACGGCAGAGAAGAGAGAGAAAAUUGCUUCUUAGCUUUCUUUGUAAAGUAACUUCUUAUCUUUACGAAAAGGCUUAGUGAUAAAGGAAUGGAUCUUAGGCUCUGUUAGGCUUUAUUUCAGUCUUAUGAUUUCAUGACAAAUAAGCCUUCAUAGAGUUCCUCUGUGGGGUUGCUUACUGCUUUUUUUCAGGGCUCAGAGCAAUCACCAUCCUCUUUUAAAUCCAUAAUAUGAGACUCUGGAAAUGUUCUAAAGAGAAAACUAGGGAAGAUAGCAAUUUCAGAGGCAUGAUUAUAUUGGUAUGGAUUGUGUAGAGAGCCCAGUCCAGGUUCACCACCACCAAACCUUGCUCAGUGUAUCCUGCAGCCGAUGUGGAUCUAAUCCUGCUGGGUUGGUGCCUUGGAGGAGACCCAAGAGAGUCCUAACUCCUCUGCAUUGGCCAUGGCCAUGGUUUCUAUGGUGAUCUCAACAGAGACCAGAUCUCUGCUCCCUGCUGCUUGAACUACGCUACCUGAGUCCUCGCAGCCCUCUCAUUACUUUCGCUUUUCUAAAAUCACGAUAAACACUGACUUAGCUCUGGCUGUGUAACAUGCUGGCCUGCUACAGAGCACAGUCCCUCACCGCAGGACCUGGGGUCUGCUGAGCGGAAGCUGCAAGUUUCUGCAGUUUCCUCAUAGUCAAAUCCAGAUUUUCACAAGAAGAUGGAAAAUCACAUUUGUUUUGUCCUUCAUCUAUUUCUGUCAUUAGGGACCAUAAUAAAGUAACACAACUGGAUGACUGAAACAACAGAAAUUUAUUGUUUCACAAUUCUGGAGGCUGGAACUCUGAGAUCAAAGUGUUGGCAGGGUUUGUUCCAUCUGGGGGAUGUGAGGGAGAAUCUGUGCCAUGACUCUCUCCUAGCUGCUGGUGGUUUGCUGGGAAUUUUUGGUGUUUCUGGGUUCCUGCUGCAUCACCGCUGAUCUCUGCCUUCAUUUUCACAUGGCAUUCUCCCUGCAUGCAUGUCUGUGUCUAAAUUUCCCCUUUUUAUGAAGACAACAGUUAUGUGGAGUUAGUGGCUCACCCUACUCCAGUGUGUCCUCAUCUUAACUAAUUACCUCUAUAAUAACCCUUUUCCAAAUAAGGUUACAUUCUGAGUUUCUGAGGAUUAGGACUUCAACAUAUGAAUUAUUUAGGGAGACAAUUCAACCCACAACAAAGACAAAUUCUUAAAUAUAUCUUGAUUAAAGUUUACUGAGUGCUCAAAAUGUGUAAAAUAUGAUUCUGUGUACUCUGCACAUUGCUUAACGAUGUAAGUUAUGAAUGGUCCCUGCCUACUAAGAAUUUGCUUUUUACUUAGAAGGCAACCCUGUAGCUGAGAAAAGUUAAGCAAAUACAUGGAAAGAAUCUGACCAAAAUUAAUAGUAGAUUUUCAAGAUUUUUUUUAAGUCAGAGAAACAUCUUCGGGAUCUUACAUGGAAACCCAAUAGAAAAUAAGAAAAAGCAUAUUUGCUUUGAUUUAAAUGAGGUAGAGGAUUUAGAAUCCAUUCUGCUUAUUCCUUUUCAUAGCAGCCAUUGAGGUUCCAUGGGAGGAAUGUAAUUCACUUAGAACUCCAAAACAUAGUUUGAUCUGGAAUGGCAAAGAUGAGGAGUGGGAAUGUUCCAGAAAGGAGCACAUAGUAUAUGAUCAGUCAGAUCCUCGAAAGAAAUUUCAUGGGAUUGGAAGCUUUGCUGGCCCCAAUGACCUUCAUAUACUGUAAGUCAUCUUAUUUGCUUAUCCGCACCUUAUCCUCAUUUUGAUGGUUCCCGAUGCCUAGAUCACUUUUUUCUUUUCUUGGAAAGGCAAGAUUGAAACAAUCUUAGAGUUGGGAGGGCGAUUUAUAGAUUUAUUUUUUUAAUUCUGUGCUAUAAUGCACCAUAAUUUUAAAAAAUUUACCAAUAAGCUCAUGUAUAUAAUGUGGACCUAUGGAUUUAACCAGGAUCAGAUGACAGAAUUGUGGAAGGAAAGAGAAUUAUGUACCUGGUACUGUUCCAGGAUCUCAGAUACAAUACUAUAUUUCAUCUUUAUAGAUUUCUAAUAAAGAGAUAUUAUUAUUUCUAAUUUACAGAUGAAAAAUUUAAAGUUCAGGUACAGUAAUUUUCCCAAGGCCGCAGCUAGUAAGUGUAAGAGUUGGAAUCUGAACCUAGAUCUGCUUGACAACAAAGUCUAUGCUUUUUUUUCCAAGAUUUUAUCCUGGAGAAUAGAAAAUACUGAAAUUGAGUGGUAUCAAUUCAAGUUUAAGGUGUGUGGUCAAAUCCUAGAUCAGAAAUGACAGAAGAAUAGAAGGUUUGUGAUCUGGAGAAGCCUAAAUCCAGACUGUUCAAUGUAGAUUGGACUUUCCUUAAAGACCGUGGCAUAAUUACAUCUUUUUUAAACUCAACCUUCCAUGUCCAUUGUUGAGCCAAUGGGAGAAUUUUCCUACUCUGAAAUAUACAUUGAGUAAGUGGGAGUCACUUCCAUGUUGUCUCCAGCAAUCCCAUGGUAUAAAGUGGUCCUCUGUGCUUCCAUCCUUGCUCACCAGUAUGCUGCUCCUUACAGGUAUUAUCUCACUCAUGCUGAACCUCAUAAAAUAUUCUGUAUUUUCUUUUAGUUUUGUGCAUAUUAUUUUUUAUGUUCAUAUACAGUACAUGUGUUUAGCACAAAGUAAUUUAGCAGAAAUACAGGUCAACUGCUACCUCUAGGAUGAUGCUCAGUGGUGUCAGCAGAAAGUGGGUCACAGAAUUAUGCAAUGAACUUCAAAUAGAGUUGUUUUUUCCUUCCAAAAGAAGUUUAAAAUGUCCUUCUAUUGUCAACACCUGCCAAACACUGAUCUAACAAGGAAAAUGGAGCCACUAUAUAGAAACCACACAGAAAAGUAAGGUAUGCGAUAGACAGUCACUCUAUUGCAUGCUAUUCAUGUGAAAUAAUAAGACAAGUCACUAGCGUUUUACAAAGAAUGUUGGAAAAGCCUGUCACAGAACUCAGUUGAUCCAUUCCCGCUAUUCACUACUUUUAGCAAACGUAUCAGCAAAGAACAGAUGCUUAGAGAAGACGUGGAGUUACAAAGAAAAGAAAAUAUACACAUGGAACUCUAAAAGAAAGAGAGAAAAAUAGAGAAAUUGAUUACAGAAAAGUCUGAACUGUGAUGCAGUCUCAUUCAGACAGUUUCCAUAGCUUAUGGACGUAAGCAAAGUGCUAAACCUGUGAAGUUCUAAACCUGAAAUCUGGCUACUAAUGGGAAGUUGAGUUGUGGAUAUAUUUAGUUUUGGUUUAGCAGAAUUCAUUUACGUAAUUCACUUCGGCUUCCAUUGAAUAUUUAUGUUAUUGCUAGUUGUUCUGGUAUUGGAAUGCCUUCAGAAAUACAGUGACCAUCUUUUGUGCUGACCCACCCAGCACCAUGACACAGAAGAAAGGCUGUAUCAGGAUAUGAAUGUGCCCUCCAGUGGUGGGCACGUACAAUCAGCAGUGGAAGAGAAACAAACUUUGAAAUGUAUAGAGCCAGACGACUGAGCUAUGGAAAAGUUUUCCGUAUCUUAUAGUUCAUAUAAAAAUUAACUUGAUAGAAUAUUUCCCAAGUUUGAUAACAACACAAAAAUGUACAUGACAUUAUCAAUAGUAAGUUGUAAAGCUGAAAGAAACAUCCUAAAAUGUCAUUAAGUAAAACAAGUAUUGAUCAAUCAUGCUGGAGGAAAUACUGAAUUAUUUUUCUAUUCUCUCAAUAAAAAAGAUAAUAUAAAAUUGUUGUCCUAUGAAGUAGUUAUUAAAAAGAAUGGCAGCCAAAA